UCAAGUCAACAUGCCAUUUUAUGUAGGAUCUACAAUCCAGAAAGGGAUUGCACUAUAAAAAACAUAGGCACACAUGUGGAGAAUCAAAAUUACUCAUCAUCUUCUCAGAUGUGGACAAGUGGAGGAGGGACCACUUAUUCUUGUAACACCCCACUUUCCCAUUCUAAUAAUUAUAAUAAAAAUAUACAGAAUAAUACAUCAGAGUCCACAAAUGGGAUGUCACAUCAUUCAAAUAAACUCAUAAAGUCUCAAGUCACUUUAUUACUUCACUUAUUCAUAGUAAUCAACCAAGCAACGAAACAACUCAAAUUAAUUUACUUCAUGGAGUUGAGGCCUCAACAAUAA